AAAUGAGAAGGGGUAAAAAGUGGAAUAUGACCUUUUAUGAAACAGUUGCGUUUGCAGGAAGAUAAUUCGAGCGCUCAGCAACGGCCCCAAACGGCCAAGACGUGUAAUUAAACAAGAAAAAGAAAAGAAAAGUCCAAAUCCCAAAAUAAUAAUAAAAAAACCGAUAACGAUAAAUUGAAAGCAGAGAGAGGGUCGCUGUGCGCUGGCCUACAAAGGCUUUGAAUGCUCGCUGGCUUUCGUUUUCAGUCUGCAAAUCUUGUGGAGGCAAAGCCACAAACCACAACGCUAGCUAGCCAGAGUGAUGAGCCCGAGAGAGCCACAUUUAAAGCCACAAACAAACACACCCACCCACACUACUAUGAGUGAGAGAGAAUAGGAAAAAGGGAAAAAUAUAAUUCGAAUUUAAUCGUUUAAAUAAAGAUCGCACAAGCUUCGGUUUCUUCGUUUCGUCUUUGCAACUCUUCGUCUUUUCUUCGUUUCUUUUUCUCUCCGAUCCCUAAUUCGCCCACCUUCUCCACCUCCAAUUUAUCUGGGAGAUUGUGUUUGGAAUCCAGGAACAUGGGGUUGAUUUCGGGGAUUCUGAUGGGGAUGGUCUUCGGGAUUGCAUUGAUGGCCGGGUGGCGUCACAUGAUGAGGUACCGAAGCACCAAGCGAGUCGCUAAGGCAGUUGACAUAAAACUCCUUGGAUCACUAAACAGAGACGAUUUGAAGAAAAUAUGCGGGGACAAUUUUCCUGAAUGGAUAUCUUUCCCCGUCUUUGAACAGGUGAAAUGGUUGAAUAAGCAACUGACCAAAUUGUGGCCAUAUGUUGCAGAUGCUGCAGAAAUGGUGAUAAAAGAUUCUGUUGAGCCACUAUUGGAAGAAUACCGACCGACCGGAAUUACUUCAUUGAAGUUCAGCAAACUGUCUCUUGGUACUGUGGCACCCAAAAUUGAAGGUAUUCGUGUUCAAAGCCUCAAGAAAGGUCAAAUUACAAUGGACAUUGAUUUUCGUUGGGGUGGUGAUCCAAACAUCGUAUUAGGUGUUGAAGCUGCACUCGUUGCCUCAAUUCCCAUUCAGCUGAAGGAUCUUCAAGUUUUUACUGUUGUUCGUGUAAUUUUCCAACUUGCUGAAGAGAUCCCUUGUGUAUCUGCAGUUGUUGUUGCUCUACUUGCAGAGCCGAAGCCUAGAAUUGAUUAUACUCUGAAGGCUGUUGGCGGAAGCUUGACAGCCCUCCCUGGAAUUUCAGAUAUGAUUGAUGAUACUGUGGAAUCGAUUGUCACAGACAUGCUCCAGUGGCCACAUAGAAUUGUUGUUCCAAUUGGUGGUGUGCCUGUUGACACAAGCGAAUUGGAGCUUAAACCUCAAGGAAAGCUCACCUUGACUGUAGUGAGAGCAAAUGACUUAAAGAACAUGGAAAUGAUUGGAAAAUCCGACCCUUAUGUUGUUGUCUACAUUCGUCCAUUAUUCAAGGUUAAGACUAAGGUCAUUGAUAACAAUCUGAAUCCUGUUUGGGAUCAAACGUUCGAGUUGAUUGCAGAAGACAAGGAGACUCAAUCACUUAUUCUUGAGGUUUUUGAUAAGGACAUCGGGCAAGACAAGCGAUUGGGAGUGACAAAAUUACCUUUGAUUGACCUGGAAGCAGAAACUGUGAAAGAGAUUGAACUGAGAUUGCAGCCAUCACUUAACAUGCUAAAAAUAAAAGAAAAGAAGGAUAGAGGAACUAUUACUAUCAAGGUCUUUUACCAUGAAUUUAACAAGGAAGAGCAGUUGAUUUCUUUAGAGGAAGAGAAGAGGAUCUUAGAAGAAGAAAGCAACUGAAAGAAGCAGAGUUAUAGGCAGCACAUGGAUGCACUUGAUGUGCAGCUUCAGUGGUUGGAUCUGGUGUUGGAUUGGUGGGUACUGGCCUUGGUGCUGGGGCUGGGCUCGUGGGAAGUGGCGUUACCGCUGGAGCUGGGCUUGUGGGAAGUGGCGUUACUGCCGGAGCUGGGCUUGUGGGGACUGGCGUUAAUUCUGGGGUUGGAAUGGUCGGGAGUGGCUUCGGAGCUGUUGGUAGUGGCCUUAGCAAAGCCGGGAAGUUCAUGGGUAGGACCAUCACCGGGCAAUCGAGUCAUUCAAGGAGAAGAAGUGGGUCUACAACUCCAGUGGGUAGUGUCCAAGAAAAUGGUGGUGCAAAGCCACGGUAAUGUGCCUGCAUUUGCUUUGCUGAUGAUAUGCUAAAUCGUGUGAAUUGAGUCAAUUGACCUUGUGAAUUGUAGGCUUUAAUGAAUAGAUAUACUCGCCUUGCUUCUAUUUCAACACUCUUCUUAAAUUCUUUUCUUUGUUCUAAUUUUGAAAAUGAUAAUAGGUAUUGGUUUAUUUCCACCUCUUUCCUCUGUGUAUCAUCCCCAUCCUGUAUUCUUGUUUGUCUUUCUACCUUACUGGAACUUGUAAUAAAAUCUUGAAUAUUUGUACAAAUUUAUCAUUUGGCUUUUUGAGCAAUUUAGGGCCAGCUAGGGUGAGCC